rnacentral:rRNA from 1 species
GAUAAACGCUGGCGGCGUGCCUAACACAUGCAAGUCGAACGAUCCCGCAAGGGAGAGUGGCGGAAGGGUGAGUAACACGUGGGAAUCUACCUCCUCGCAGGGAACAACCUCUCGAAAGAGAGGCUAAUACCCAAAAGGGUCAGAAAUGAUCAGAGUCGAAAGGCGUGAGGAGAGGAGCCCGCGGCCCAUCAGCUAGUUGGUGAGGUAAUGGCUUACCAAGGCUACGACGGGUAGGGGAUCUGAGAGGAUGUCCCCCACACUGGAACUGAAACACGGUCCAGACGCCUACGGGUGGCAGCAGUGAGGAAUAUUGGACAAUGGGCGAAAGCCCGAUCCAGCAACGCCGCGUGGAGGAUGAAGGCCUUCGGGUCGUAAACUUCUUUAGAGGGAGACGAGAAAGGACGGUAUCCCUAGAAUAAGCGACGGCAAACUACGUGCCAGCAG